rnacentral:rRNA from 1 species
UGAGGAAUAUUGGUCAAUGGGCGAGAGCCUGAACCAGCCAAGUAGCGUGCAGGAUGACGGCCCUAUGGGUUGUAAACUGCUUUUAUAUGGGAAUAAAGUGAGGGACGUGUCCCUUAUUGCAUGUACCAUACGAAUAAGGACCGGCUAAAUCCGUGCCAGCAGCCGCGGUAAUACGGAAGGUCCAGGCGUUAUCCGGAUUUAUUGGGUUUAAAGGGAGCGUAGGCUGUUUGUUAAGCGUGUUGUGAAAUGUAAGAGCUCAACUUUUAGAUUGCAGCGCGAACUGGCAGACUUGAGUGCGCACAACGUAGGCGGAAUUCAUGGUGUAGCGGUGAAAUGCUUAGAUAUCAUGACGAACUCCGAUUGCGAAGGCAGCUUACGGGAGCGCAACUGACGCUAAAGCUCGAAGGUGCGGGUAUCGAACAGG